GUCCACGCCGUAAACGAUGGAUACUAGCUGUUGGGGGCAACUUCAGUGGCUAAGCGAAAGUGAUAAGUAUCCCACCUGGGGAGUACGGGCGCAAGCCUGAAACUCAAAGGAAUUGACGGGGGCCCGCACAAGCGGUGGAGCAUGUGGUUUAAUUCGAUGAUACGCGAGGAACCUUACCAAGGCUUAAAUGUAGACUGACCGGUUUGGAAACAGACCUUUCGCAAGACAGUUUACAAGGUGCUGCAUGGUUGUCGU
rnacentral:rRNA from 1 species